rnacentral:rRNA from 1 species
CAGCACCUCAAGUGGUCAGGAUGAUUAUUGGGCCUAAAGCAUCCGUAGCCGGCGCUGUAAGUUUUCGGUUAAAUCUGUACGCUCAACGUACAGGCUGCCGGGAAUACUGCAGCGCUAGGGAGUGGGAGAGGUAGACGGUACUCGGUAGGAAGGGGUAAAAUCCUUUGAUCUAUUGAUGACCACCUGUGGCGAAGGCGGUCUACCAGAACACGUCCGACGGUGAGGGAUGAAAGCUGGGGGAGCAAACCGAUUAGAUACCCGAGUAGUCC